GCCGUGACAGGGAGUGAGGUGCAGCUCAGGAUGGGGAAGGAGGGACUCCUGUUCUUUCAGGUGCUGUGGCUGCUGCCCUGGGUGCAGCUGUGCAGGGGGGCUGCAGAGGUGAGGCUGGAGAACGGCGGCAGGCGCUGUGCUGGGAGAGUGGAGGUGAAGCAACAAGGCCAGUGGGGGACCGUGUGUGGUGUAUUCUGGGACAUGAAGGAUGCUACGGUGGUUUGUAACCAGCUGGGUUGUGGGUCUGCUGUGGGAGCUCCUAAGUACGAAUACUUCGGGCCAGGAUCUGGCCCUGUCUGGAUGUUUGGCGUUCACUGCCGCGGCACAGAGCGUGCCCUGUCUGACUGCACAAACAGAAGAGAGUACCAGGAGGACUGUAACCACAGUUUGGAUGCUGGAGUGAUCUGUUCAGGAUUUGUCCAGCUGACUGGAGGUGACAGCCCCUGCUCAGGACGCGUGGAGAUCCAUAGCAGGGGCAGCUGGAGAGCCGUCUGUGACUCAGACUUUGGUCCCAAAGCCGCUGAUGUGGUCUGCAGGGAGCUGCAGUGCGGCGCAGCCCUGUCCGUGGUCGGGGCAGCUCCCUUUGGAGAGCACGCCGGUCCCAUGUGGAACGGACUACUGCAGUGCAUGGGGAAUGAAUCCCUCCUCGUCUCCUGCCCCAGGGGACCUCCCAGGGACCAGCCUUGCACCCACGGGAACGCCGCUGGCAUCAUCUGUACACGUAAGGAUUCCUGCUGGGGCGUCAAACAGGAGGGUGAUGCUGGGGACAGGGGAGUAGGGCAGGGAGGGUGCUGCGCCAGGCGUGAGGAUGGCAGGCGUGACGUGGUUGCCUGCAGCCCUAAAGUGAUGCAGAAGGAAGAGAAGGGCAGGGUCUCCUCCGCUUGGCCUCUCCUCCAGCUGCUGAGGGAGCGAGAGCACAGGUCUGCCCUGCCUCGUCCUUCUCUGUUCCCAGAGUACACGGGGUUCAGGCUGAACAAUGGCACAGCGUGCGAGGGGAGGGUGGAGGUCCAGGUGCAGGGGACCUGGGGCAGCCUCUGUGCCUCCCGCUGGGAUCUCUUGGAUGCCCACGUUCUCUGUCGUCACCUCAACUGCGGGUUUGCGGAGACCAUUCCCGAGCGAGGGCGCUUUGGGAGAGGAACUGGCCCCAUCUGGAGAGAUUCAUUUCACUGUAACGGGACUGAAGAGCACCUGGGGCAGUGCUCCAUGACCACCCUGGGGGCCUCACCCUGCUCCCGUGAGGAUGAAGCCGCUGUCAUUUGCUCAGGCCCAGCUGACUCCAAAUCCCUGCGACUGGUGGGUGGGGAGAGCCGGUGUAACGGGCGAGUGGAGAUCUUCCACCACGGGACAUGGGGCAGAGUCCUGGAUGACAACUGGGACAUGCAGGAGGCCAAUGUGGUGUGCCAGCAGCUGCGGUGUGGAGCAGCGACGGCAGCCUACAAACCCCUGAAGGCUCAGAGAGGGAGGGGCCCCGUGGGGCUGCGAGGGGUCCGGUGUGCAGGGCAGGAGACCAGCCUGACCGCCUGCCGCACCUCCCUGCCCAAGAAUGCGCGGGUGGCGGAGAUGAUGGAGGACGUGGGGGUGGUUUGCUCAGGGAGUUGGCAAAUCCGGCUGGUGGACGGGCCUGGGCGCUGCGCCGGGAGAGUGGAGGUCUACAACCAGGGCAGCUGGGGCACUGUCUGCGAUGAUGGCUGGGACCUGCUUGAUGCCACCGUCGUUUGCCGCCAGCUGGACUGCGGAGGGGCAGUGGAUGCCGUUCGCUUCGCUCAAUUCGGGGCAGGCUCCGGGGAGAUCUGGCUGGACAACGUGAACUGCUCUGGGAAUGAAUCUGCUCUCUGGGAUUGCCCAGCAGUGUCCUGGGAGCAGCAGGACUGUGGGCACAAAGAGGACGCAGGAGUCAUCUGCUCAGAUUUCAUGGCCCUGAGGCUGGAGAACAGCAACAAUUGCUCCGGGCGGCUGCAAGUUUUCUACAAUGGCACAUGGGGUGGCGUUUGCUCCAACUCAGUGACUCCCAAAACGGUGUCGCUGGCAUGCAAGGAGCUGGGCUGUGGGAACAGAGGGUCUCUGGAAAUGCGCCUACCCUAUGGUAGGGUGUCCGGCCCCACCUGGCUGGAUCACGUGCAGUGUGAGGAGAGAAUCAGCUCUUUCUGGCAGUGCCCCUCUUCUCCCUGGAACCCACAGUCUUGCCGUGACCUGCGAGAUGAGACCUACAUCACCUGCAACGGGAGUUGGACAGAAGCGCCCCCGACCCUGGAGCCCCCAUGCCCAAACUCCACGAGCUGCACAGACAGGGAGAAGAUUCGUGCCAUGGGAGGCGAGGACAAGUGCUCGGGCAGGGUGGAGAUCUGGCACCGCGGCUCCUGGGGGACGGUGUGCGAUGACUCCUGGGACAUGCAGGAUGCUGAGGUGGCGUGUAGGCAGCUGGGCUGCGGCCCUGCGGUGUCUGCCCUGGACGAGGCUGCGUUUGGGCAGGGGAUGGGCCCCAUCUGGCUGGAGAAGGUGGAGUGCCGGGGGACAGAGCUGUCUCUGCAGGAUUGCUGGGCACAGCCUGGGGACAGCGGUGCAUGCCGGCACAAGGAGGAUGCUUCUGUGCGCUGCUCGGCUCCACUCAGAACAGCAGCACCAGCUUCCCAAACAGAUCCCACCCCAGAGCAUCUGACUGGCAGCAGGAGCAUCUCAUUACCUGUCGUCAUCUGCAUCAUCCUGGGGGGCCUUCUCUGCCUGCUCCUGGCCCUCCUGGUUGGGCAAAUACAAAGCGCCAGGGCUUGGCGCAAAGCCCUGCCUCUCUCUGUGGGCUCUGGGACAUCUUGGGAGCCCUUCCCUGCGGCUGUGUAUGAGGAAAUCAAUUACAGACUGGCGUGGGAGAAAGAGGCGAAAUUCAGGGGCUCAGGCUCCUAUUCAGAGGGGUUCCCAAUCAAGCUGCAGCCCUACCCCCAGGACAGCAAGGAGGAGGAUGGUCUGGGGCCAGCACCAGAUGUCCUUGACCCGCCUGGAGGUUACCAAGCAGAUGGCUAUGAUGAUGUUAGGGAGGCUUCUGGCCCUGGGGAGGAUCCUGUGUCCAGGCAGGGAGACUGGGAAAUGCCCGUGGCACCAGAGGAGGGAGCAGGGCCCAUGGAUGCACCUGGAGGGGCAAACCUGCCCUCCCAGAGAAGUGCUGGGGCUCCUGGAGCUGUGGAAGGUGCCUGGUCCCUGUCCCUGGAGAGCGCAGGCUAUGACGAUGCUGAAGAAGUGUCUCUGGCACAUCCUCCUGAGGACACAGAGGCUGUGGCACCAGGGAGGGAUGCGAGAAAGCAGGCGCUGCUAAAUCUGAGCCAGGGUCCCUCUCCCUCAGCUGGGGCUGUCGCCUACCCCAGCUCCCAUGGGCAGAGAAACCUUUCAUACAGGGCAGGGAGAAGGAUUUGACACCUUGGUAGGAAUGUGCAGCCCCGACUGCCCUCCCUGCUCCUGCUGGUGCAUCUCCACAAGCCUCAGGCCCUGACGGGCUCUUCUGCUGAAGGCUGGAAGGCACCUGACAGAAGUAGCCACGUGUAACAGCCAGCAAAGCCACCAGCCACACUGAGCAGCAGCGGCAUCAAAUGCGUGAAGUCCCGGUGUCGCUGGGUUUGUUCCCAUGAAAAUACAGGCUCCUGUCAGGGCUUUAAUGAAAGCCUGUCCGGUUUUAUCUGCAUGACAAGAGAUAAAUAAAAAUCCACUGAUCAGCGGCUCACAAGAACUCGAAAUGGCUCAGAUUCUUCACUGACGUUAUAUAUUUCUCAAGGAUUAGACGUGCUUAUAUCUUUACGGGACGCUGCCUAUAGAAAAGAGACCUGUUGUGGGUCAGCUGUGAAAUGACCGAGGGCAAUCCACCUGAGUAUUUGCUUUGGAAGCUGCCCCAAGAGCGGGCGGUCACCUGGAAGAUUUUCAUCCUGACUGUUCCUGCUUUGUGCGCUGCUCACCAGAUAGUGAGUACAUGGGGCUGGAUUAUCUCUCCUGUUUAAAUACGCUGUGAGGACACUUCCAUCCUGAAGCUGUUUUGAAAAGAAUCGAUGACUUGGACGCGCUGCCAUAACCGAGGAACAUUGACGUAGGAGAGGUCAAGGCUGCCUUGGCGAUCAAUGCACAUCAAGGGGUGGCAUUUGGUAGACCCUUAACAUAAAGGUGCUGUUCAGGGAGAUCCCAUCUGCUGGUUUUGUGGUCUCCAAACAGACGUGCCCAUGUUUUUGGAACAGGGGCACAUUUCCACCUUUUUUUGGUUUGACAAAGAGAUGGGCAAGAAACUUUAAAGGCAGGUCUACAGUGUAGCUCAUCCUACUUGUGCUGUCCCCUUGCAACCUCUCUGAGCAGGGCAGACAGCCCUUCUGGAAGUUUCUCUCUCAUCCCUGCAGUCUCCUCCAUGAGGCUGUGGAAUAUUUACCACAUUGGUUUUCCAAAUACAGUUUUAGCCUGGUCGUUCUCCUCUGGCAUUGACCUGCCGUGAGGUAUCCUGUUGUUUUACAGAGGGAAAUGGAUGAAAAAGAAAAAUGCCUUGAGUCCCUGAAGCACACAGAUAGAGGCACGCAUGACAGAGAUAAUACGCAGGAAUAGU